rnacentral:rRNA from 1 species
AGAGUUUGAUCCUGGCUCACGAUGAACGCUGGCGGCGUGCUUAACACAUGCAAGUCGAACGAAGCACUUUAUUCAGAUUCUUUCGGGAUGAUGAAUUUAGUGACUUAGUGGCGGACGGGUGAGUAACGCGUGGGUAACCUGCCUUACACAGGGGGAUAACAGUUAGAAAUGACUGCUAAUACCGCAUAAAACAGCAGCACCGCAUGGUGCAACUGUCAAAGAUUUAUCGGUGUAAGAUGGACCCGCGUCUGAUUAGCCAGUUGGUGGGGUAACGGCCUACCAAAGCGACGAUCAGUAGCCGACCUGAGAGGGUGACCGGCCACAUUGGGACUGAGACACGGCCCAAACUCCUACGGGAGGCAGCAGUGGGGAAUAUUGGACAAUGGGCGAAAGCCUGAUCCAGCGACGCCGCGUGAGCGAUGAAGUAUUUCGGUAUGUAAAGCUCUAUCAGCAGGGAAGAAAAUGACGGUACCUGACUAAGAAGCCCCGGCUAACUACGUGCCAGCAGCCGCGGUAAUACGUAGGGGGCAAGCGUUAUCCGGAAUUACUGGGUGUAAAGGGAGCGUAGACGGAAGUGCAAGUCAGAAGUGAAAGCCCGGGGCUUAACCCCGGGACUGCUUUUGAAACUGUGCAUCUAGAGUGCAGGAGAGGUAAGCGGAAUUCCUAGUGUAGCGGCGAAAUGCGUAGAUAUUAGGAGGAACACCGGUGGCGAAGGCGGCUUACUGGACUGUAACUGACGUUGAGGCUCGAAAGCGUGGGGAGCAAACAGGAUUAGAUACCCUGGUAGUCCACGCCGUAAACGAUGA